CGGACGGGUGAGUAACGCGUGAGAAUCUGCCCUCAGGAGGGGGAUAACGGCUGGAAACGGCCGCUAAUACCCCAUAUGCCGCGAGGUGAAAUGAAUUUCGCCUGAGGAUGAGCUCGCGUCUGAUUAGCUAGUUGGUGGGGUAAGAGCCUACCAAGGCAUCGAUCAGUAGCUGGUCUGAGAGGAUGAUCAGCCACACUGGGACUGAGACACGGCCCAGACUCCUACGGGAGGCAGCAGUGGGGAAUUUUCCGCAAUGGGCGAAAGCCUGACGGAGCAACGCCGCGUGAGGGAUGAAGGCCUCUGGGCUGUAAACCUCUUUUAUCAAGGAAGAAGAUCUGACGGUACUUGAUGAAUAAGCCACGGCUAAUUCCGUGCCAGCAGCCGCGGUAAUACGGGAGUGGCAAGCGUUAUCCGGAAUUAUUGGGCGUAAAGCGUCCGCAGGCGGUCUUGUAAGUCUGUCGUUAAAGCGUGGAGCUUAACUCCAUUUCAGCGAUGGAAACUGCAAGACUAGAGUGUGGUAGGGGCAGAGGGAAUUCCCGGUGUAGCGGUGAAAUACGUAGAUAUCGGGAAGAACACCAGUGGCGAAGGCGCUCUGCUGGGCCAUAACUGACGCUCAUGGACGAAAGCCAGGGGAGCGAAAGGGAUUAGAUACCCCUGUAGUC
rnacentral:rRNA from 1 species